rnacentral:rRNA from 1 species
GGGCGAGUGAAGCGGCAAAAGCUCAAAUUUGAAAUCUAGCACUUUCAGUGUUCGAGUUGUAAUUUGAAGAAGGUAACUUUGGAAUUGGCUCUUGUCUAUGUUCCUUGGAACAGGACGUCACAGAGGGUGAGAAUCCCGUGCGAUGAGAUGUCCAAUUCUAUGUAAAGUGCUUUCGAAGAGUCGAGUUGUUUGGGAAUGCAGCUCUAAGUGGGUGGUAAAUUCCAUCUAAAGCUAAAUAUUGGCGAGAGACCGAUAGCGAACAAGUACAGUGAUGGAAAGAUGAAAAGAACUUUGAAAAGAGAGUGAAAAAGUACGUGAAAUUGUGAAAGGGAAGGCUUGAGAUCAGACUUGGUAUUUGUGUCUUAUCUCUUGAUUAGGU